GACAUAGAGAGAGAGAGAGAGCAUGCGUGAGAGAGCAGCUCUUUCAGAGCGAUUAUAACGAGAAAAGAGAGGGAGAGGGAGGAAGACAGAUUAAGCAGACUGAACACAACUGUUGUUUUAAUCCCCUGAGCGGAUAGAUUUAGAGGAAAAAAAAACUACUGGUUUGGAGAAGAGCAGCCAUAUUGCAUGGACCUUUGGUGGAAUAACAAGACUCAGAGGAGCAGGAAUACGAGGAGUUCGGGAGCGGACGCUACACACUUUCCCGUUUCGUUUGACUCUCUCCUAUUUAUUAUUUAUUUAUUUAUUUAGCUUUAAGAGAGUGCCAACCGAUAUCUCGAAAGAUGAAGGACCGACUGGAGCAACUAAAGGCGACGUGCGAUCACGAUGAUGAAGAUGUGGAGAUCGCCGUGGACAACGCUGCCUUUAUGGACGAGUUCUUCUCCCAGAUCGAAGACAUCAGGAACAGCAUCGAUAAGAUUGACGAGAAUGUGGCCGAAGUGAAGAAACUUUACUCCGUUAUUCUUUCCGCACCAACAUCUGACCAGAAAACGCAGGAUGAUCUGGAGUCGCUUACCAACGAUAUCAAGAAAAUGGCCAACAAUGCCCGUAACAAACUGAAGACCAUCGAAAGGAAUCUCGAGACAGAAGAAGUGGAAAGAGUAUCGGCCGACAUUAGAAUACGCAAAUCACAGCACGCCGUACUUUCCAGGAAGUUUGUCGAUGUGAUGACCAAAUACAAUGAAGCUCAGGUGGACUUCAGAGAGAAAAGCAAAGGUCGCAUUCAGAGACAAUUAGAGAUCACUGGUAAAGCCACAACCGAUGAAGAGCUGGAGGAGAUGCUGGAGGGAGGAAAUGCAGCCGUUUUUACAGCGGGGAUUGUGGAUUCGGGAAUCUCCAAACAAGCUCUGAGUGAGAUUGAAGCGCGUCACAAAGACAUUGUGCGUCUGGAGAGCAGCAUAAAGGAGCUGCAUGACAUGUUUGUGGACAUCGCCAUGCUGGUGGAGAGCCAGGGCAACAUGGUUGAUAACAUUGAGGUGAAUGUAGGUAAAGCAGUCGAUCACGUUGAAGCGGCAAAGACUGAAACCAAGAAAGCAGUCAGGUAUCGGAGUAAAGCCCGGAAGGUACGGACUUCACCGUAACAGUCAAUGUAGCUUCUGCUCUCUCUUUUCUCUUCUGCUUUUGCCCCCCAUCUCUCUCUGUCUCUCUCUGUCUCUCUCUCUCUCUCUCUCUCUCUCUCUCUCUCUCUCUCUCUCUCUCUCUCUCUCUCUCUCUCUCUCCUUUCUUUUUCCUCCUUUCUUCUUCGCCCGAAAUCCGUUGUAGGGCGGUAUGAUUGACAGGAUCGAGAGCAACAUGGACCAGUCAGUGGGUUUUGUGGAGCGGGCCGUUGCCGACACUAAAAAAGCCGCUAAAUAUCAGCAGGAGGCCCGACGUAAGAUGAUCAUACUUGGUGUGAUCGGUGCCGUGGUGCUCGUCAUCAUCAUCAUCAUCAUCCUCACACAGGUCCUAUGAUGACCUCUGCGGCUGCUCAUGAACACUUCGCCAUUACAGAUCAUCAUUUCCUCUCCUUUCCAUCCUCCCCGUGUUUCCUCGGAAGCGAGUCAAAAUGAAAGCCCCGGCCCCUGCACCUGUGGCCCCUCCCUUCAUCAGCACAAACCAAUGGGUAUCUCCUCUGCUGGAACCGUAGCGAUGGUCCAGGAAACAGAUUGUUUUUUUUUUUGUAGUUGUUGUUUUUGUAAGGAUGUGAUGGGAAAUGUUUAAGGAACUUCUACUACAUGCCAGGAAUGGCGUUUGAAGGAAGCACAUUUUAAAUCCAUGAGCACAGAUUAAGGGAAUUUUAUGAGACUCACAAGGGAAAGGUAACCUUUUUUUUUUUUUAAUCGUAUUGUGUUUUUAUAAGACACAUCCAUGGCUACAUCUGCUGGAUGAGCUACCGGCCUGUUCUUGAUCAAAAGGGCUCAGAGACUCAGAAUGGAAGAAAUCCACAUGUGUAUUUUUAUAAUGUGACGAAAGUCUGUAUGGGAAUUAACCAAAGAAAUAAAUUACAUUAUAUGUUUUCUAA